AUUAAAUAAAGACCUCCUAACUUUAUUUAAUGAAAUCCUAAAACUUUUUUUCAUCAUAAUCUCCUAAUGAAGCCACCCAAUCAGGUGGCUUUUUU
rfam:Streptococcus mitis SK564 contig2, whole genome shotgun sequence.